rnacentral:rRNA from 1 species
CCUACGGGCGGCAGCAGUGGGGAAUAUUGCACAAUGGGGGAAACCCUGAUGCAGCGACGCCGCGUGAGUGAAGCAGUAAUUCGUUAUGUAAAGCUCUAUCAGCAGGGAAGAAAAUGACGGUACCUGAGUAAGAAGCCCCGGCUAACUACGUGCCAGCAGCCGCGGUAAUACGUAGGGGGCAAGAGUUAUCCGGAUUUAAUGGGUGGAAAGGGAGCGUAGACGGCAGUGAAAGUCUGGAGUGAAAGGCGGGGGCUCAACCCCCGGACUGCUCUGGAAACUGUACGGCUGGAGUGCAGGAGAGGUAAGUGGAAUUCCUAGUGUAGCGGUGAAAUGCGUAGAUAUUAGGAGGAACACCAGUGGCGAAGGCGGCUUACUGGACUGUAACUGACGUUGAGGCUCGAAAGCGUGGGGAGCAAACAGGAUUAGAUACCCCUGUAGUC